rnacentral:lncRNA from 1 species
GAACCGGUGGCCACUGCCUGGGUGGUGGCAGGGCCGUUGUUGUUGCUGAGUGUCAGUGAUGUGUGCUCUCUCAGCCCCAGGUCCUCAGGGGGUUCCAAGAUGCUUCUCUUGCAAACUAGGAGCAGCUUUAUAAGUGCUCACGGCCCUGCGGUGCUUCGGUGUGGGUUCUACUGACCCCUAGGGACCCGAGGGAGGGGCAGUGGGACAGUGGUUGACCAAGUGAUCACCAAGCUGGGAGUGACAGGGAGUGCACAGCCUGUCACACAGGGUACUACUCAAGCAUUGCCUGUCUAUGGCUGGAGGUUAAAAAUGUAGAGACACAUUUUUAAAAAAUAAGUAGCUCCUGAUUAUGAUACUCCUGAGAAAUAAUUACUCGGGCAUAGCAUGCAUUUUCACUCUCAGACGUUGUCAUUCUCUCUGUAUUAAUUAAGCUAUAAUUAUGCUGUGAUUAUUAUUUCAUAAUCUACUUUCCCUACUUAGUAGAAUCUCGUCAGCUUGCUUUUCCAUAUUUUCCACCCAUAAUGAGAUGCCAGCCUCCUUGCUGCUCACGAUGGUGCUUGGGGACUGGUUGGUGGCCUUGAUGGGAUUGGCUUCUUGUAAGUGAGUCAGAUGCAAAGGUGCUCUGCCCUCUCACAUCUGUCCUUUACCCUGCCUGGCUUUGCAUGUGGUACCCAAGGAUGCUAGAGUCAAGUUGGUUGUUAGGGCAACACCUCAAAACCAAACAGGAUGAAGACACAGGCAUGCAGACCUGUUCUCUGCUGUCCACGGGAAGGAAGAGCUCUUGGGACAGGAGGCAUCCUGACUCGGAAGUCGGCAGACAGCCCCAGUCACCUCCGUUCACUUCUGCUUCAAGGUGUUCUGCGUUUCCAGAGGACGGCACCAACCGCGUGGAUGUGCCCGCCACACACUUACCUGCCUUCUGCUUGGGAUCGUGCUGUUAACCUCUGCUGGGCUCCAUGUGGCCUUCCCCAGAACGUCGCACCCAUGCUAGUGGCCUGAUGUGGGGGCACAGAAAACCUCCCCAAGCCCUCAGCCAAAGGGAGCACCGCCUCUCAGAGACUUUAUUCUUACCAUUAGGUCACCGGAUAUCUUACCCUAACACCCACGUCACUACCCCCGUGACCUGACCCUUCUCAUCAAACACCCCCAUUCCCCACUCGUCACCUCGGAGCCAAUUAGGCAGCCGUGAAAAUGGCCUGGGACCUGGAAUCCAGGGGCAUGACUCAACAUCCAAUGGGCUGCUCUGGUCUAAAUUUGGGAUGAUGGUAAUCACAGGUGUGUCCCAGCUUGUAGGGCUCCUCUAGGAAAUGAAUACAAGAAAAAAUGAAAAAGAAAAAUCGGGCAGCCCCGGUGGCACAGCGGUUUAGCGCCGCCUGCAGCCCAGGGUGUGAUCCUGGAGACCAGGGAUCGAGUCCCACGUCGGGCUCCCUGCAUGAAGCCUGCUUCUCCCUCUGCCUGUGUCUCUGCCUCUCUCUCUAGCUGUGUCUCUAUGAAUAAAUAAAUUAAAAAAAAAAAAAAAGAAAAAGUCAAAAAAGUCCACAUAGAGGUGGACAUCAGUGUUGUUGCUAGGCUGUAAGUCUCUGGAGAGGGUAUGUGCAUAUUCCACCUGCAUCCCCAUGAAAGAACCCAACAGACACUUAAAAUACGUGAUGGAGGGGCGCCUGGAGGCUCCAUCGGAUGAGUGGCUGACUUGGUUUCAGCUCAGGUUGUGAUCACAGGGUCGUGGGCUCGAGCCCUGUGUUGGUUGGGCUCCUCGCUCAGUGCAGAGUCUGCUUGAAUCCUCUCCCUCUCCUCUAUCCCUCUCCCUGCUCUCUCUCUCUCUCAUAUAAAUAAAUAAAUCUUUACAAUACAUGUUGGAAAAAGUGAGUCCUCACUGUGCUUCCUUUGGUGCCAUUACUCAGGAGUCAAGGGAAGGGAGGCGUUAUCCUGAUGACCCGGGUCAUGUCCCCCCGUCAAGAUGCCUACUGUCAUCCCAUCCACAAAGUCUCUCUUGCCCUAUAAGAUGACACAGUCAUGGGUUCUGGGGAUUAGCAUGUGAACAUCUUUGCUCUUGACUAAGGCAGAGAUGAGGGCUUUUGACUGGAUAUGGGACAGAGGAGGCUCAGAGCACAGACCCCUGUCCCAUGCUGGUGCAGCCUCAUCUCAUUUCCUAUUCAGGUCAAGCCUGGACAUGCGCGCCUACAAGCUACCCACCUUUGUGAGUUGAUUUCAAAUACCGUGAUGCACACACCUUUCUAUUCAUUAUAUUACAGAAGGUUCUAACACUAAGCAGAGAGAAUCAAAUGUGAUUUAACCACGGAAGAGUGAGGAAAGAGAAAGUCUUUACUCUCUGCCAUUUCCUUGUCGGAGUGGAUGCUACUUCUGAGUGGCGUAUUGUCAGAGGAGCCAGUGUGGGCCUGACCCCCUUGAGCAUCGACAGGCAGUGCCAGAGACUGAGCAACACUUUAGAAACUCAAAUGUUCUUGACUAUUCAGCUCAAGGGAUCAUGUUGCCCUGUCCUGGUCUGGUGGGAGCUGCUCCAAUGUGUUUGAGGUAUCCGAAGGUGGUGGGGGGCUGGUUGAGGGCUCCGGGAGCAGGUGCAGACACGGAGGCUGGGUAGGCCAGGCCACCUGGGCUCAGCGGUUUAGCACCACCUUCAGCCCAGGGUCUGAUCCUGGAGACCCACAUCAGGCUCCCUGCGUGGAGCCUGCUUCUCCUACUGCCUGUGUCUCUGCCUCUCUCUCUCUCUCUCUCUGUAUGUGUCUCUCAUGAAUAAAUAGAUAAAAUGUUAAAAAAAAAAAAGGGAACAAUGUUCAGUGUAGAUUUGUAGGGGGAUAUGGGAGGAAAGUCAAUCAGGGCACAUUUACAGAAUCCCAGACAUAAAAUGACCAUCAGGGCAUUGGUGGCUGUGGGGACAGAGAUGAACAAUGGGCUGAAGCCUCUUUGGGGUGACUCACAUCUCCGGCAUCCAGGGCGGUCAAGGCACAAAGAAGAGACGGUAACAAGCCCCGCAUAUAUUUAAGCCACUGCUACAUAAAGAAUGCAUGGAUCCCCAAAUAUGAAAGUCCAAUAUUGGACUUGCCAUCAGAGGGGGUUCUGGCUCAGGGAGGGACACCAGUACUUGAUGAGCCCUUCAGUGGCUGUGGGCAUCCCUCUGGUCACUCCCUGUGUCAGUGGACCCCUGGGGCCUGGGGAGCCUGAUGUCUGGUCAAACGCACUCAUUGCAUUGGCUUUUAUAAGAAACUGUUCCCUCAGGGAGGGGUAGGAGCCCCCUCCUCAUCUCAGUCCAGCUGCUGAAGCACAGCCCAGGGGAGAUGGGCGGGCUGGGGGGCGUGCAGGGUCUCAGUGCCUUCACAGACGGCCUCAAACAUGUCCCUGCCACUGAUGGCCACAUGCACACUGAGGCUGUCCCCAUGUCCUGUUGGAUGGUGCUCAUGCAAUCGUAGGCUCUGUGCGCCCUGCUCUGCCCCUGCGCGCUCACAGAGCACAUCCUUCCCACUAGCCGACCGUCUGUCCAUUCACCGGGGAACAAGGGCUGUCAUGGUGCUGCUGAAGCAUUUCCGAAGAGCAGCAGGGCUUGAGCAGGGA